GUGGUUUGAUCCUGGCUCACACUGAACGCUGGCGGCCUGCUUAACACAUGCCCGUCAAGCGACACCAUGAAUACUGAAGCGUACAACGGGUGCGUAACCCUUGAGCAAUCUGCCCUGAAGGCUGGAGUAUGCCUGCGAAGCUAAGAUUAAUACCGGAUGGCGAACAGUCAGGCAUCGGAUUCUUUCCCAAGCUUGUAACGGCGCUUCAUGAUGAGCUAGCGGCCUAUCAUCUACUUGGUGAGGUAACGGCUCACCACCGCUAAGACGGGCAACUGGUCUGAGAUGAUGAUCAGACACACUGGAACUGACACACGGUCCUCACACCUACGGGUGGCAUCCCUUUCGAAUCUCUCACAAUGGGGGCAACCCUGAUGGCGCGACUCCCCCUGCUGCAUGAACGUCUUCGGAUUGUAAACUCCUGUCAUUGUGUUACUAAUGGCCAGGCUCAUACCCUCUGUUUGAAUGAUCCCACCCAGGAAGCGAUGUCUAACUCUGUGCCAGCCGCC
rnacentral:rRNA from 1 species